GCCUAGCACAAAAACCAUAAGAAUUAUUUGGGUUUAUAUCAAGAAGAGGAUAAUGGAGAUGAAGAACAAGGCUGCUUUGGUGGCUAUGGUGGUUUUCAUGGUGGUUAUGGCUCAAUCUGUCACCACGAUCACCGCCGAUGAGACGAUUGAGCUCUCAGGUGGAGAAAACACAGCAAGAGUGUGUCCUGCUACGCUUUUGCCUUGCGAAACAGACUCUGAGUGCUCUCCAUGCAUUUGUAAUGUUAAAUCUGGCGCCUGCGUUUGAAACAAAUUAAAAACAAGAUCAUCAAGAACAAUUAUUGUACCCAUUAUCAAUAUCUACAUAUGGUCUUUCUUUCCCUUUUAAAUCAGGAAUAAAAACUUACCUUUCAGAACAAUCUUUGGCCAUGUCUUAUGUUGUGACUAUUAUAUAUUGAUGUGUGCUAAAUCAAUUAUAUGUUGUUGAUUCCAUUAUAUAUUUCCGUUCAUCGUCUGAUCUCUCUCUCUCUCUCUCGUUUAGUUAAUGAAAAAUGCCACUAAAGAAUAGAAAGACAACGUUGGUAAAGCUCCGUCGGUGAAAAUCACUUCACUCUUUUCUUUCUCCUCCUUCAACACUUUCCAUUAUUGUUAUUUUCUUUCUGCUCCCUCAACACUAUUUCAUAAGCAGAAUGAACCAACAUAUAUUUAUUCUUUUCAAUUGAAUGAUACACAUCAACACAUUAUUAUUUUAUAUACCAUAUGAUAACAAUAAUAGAAUGCAUGUGGUAAUGAUCAGUGUUAAAAUGAAGUAAAACUAUCAACAGAAAAAUAUAUCCAUAGCAUAGUACUAAAUUUUCAUGGACAUGUAGAAAUUUCUAUAUCAAUAUAUCCAUUUUUUUCAUGGGUUCAACGUUUAUAUUUUAUCAUGUAAAAAAAUCCACAAAAUACAAAAAAAAAUAAGGUGUCAAAUAUCAUUAAUAUAAAUCUCAUACAAAAGCAUGUCAACUUAUUUCAUGUUUUUCAAUAUAUAGCAAAAUGAAUUAAAAAAGUUAUAAAUAUAACCAAAUUCUUGUAAUCUAUGGAUAUCUUAAAUAACAAAUUUUCUAUUUGAAUUGAAGUAAUUUAUCUCAGAAGUAUGGGUUGAAAUCAAAAUUUUAUCUAUAUUUUUAUCAAAUUUUUUGUAGAACCAAUAUUUCAGUAUCAACAUUUUAAACUGUGAUGAACAGUCAAUAUUGGUUGGUAGACAAUUUCAAUACUUUUGAAUUACCAACCACUACCAAACAUUAUUGACUUUAGGGUCUUAAUUUAUGAUCCCUUUCUUCAACUAUUCAUCUUUAUCAAAUUAAAAUUAAGCUUAUUAAUAUACAUGACUAAUCAAUUAUAGACAAAGGUGGAAUUUUGAUAAAUUCCAUGCAUAUCAAUUAUCAAAAUAAACUUGGUCUCUCUACAAAAAUAUAAUGCAAUUUUUUUUCUUUUAAAGAAUAGACAUUUAAAAAGGAAAAAAAAAAAAAAAAAACUACCUUCUCAUUUUAGACAUUUUCUACAAUUUAUCAAAAUUGACUUAGGGAGAGAGAUCCAAUAAAAUUCAUAACCAUCAUAACACCCUUCCUUUUUUUCCUGUCCUAAUGAAGAACUUUGGACAAAUGUUUAAAUUAUUUUUUCAUUUACUUGUUUAAGGACAUAAAAGAGUUUAAGUCAUUUUUGUUCUUUUAAAAAUCACUCUGAAUUAGAUGUUUAAAUAAUUAAAAGUUUCAUGUAUGACAGAGACUUUGGAUAGAAAGCUUCUCUAGUUUUCCUGUCAUUCUUAUUCACUUCUCUCUUUUCUUCUCUUUUAAGAAAAGAAACUUAAGUAUCAAACACAACAUGUUUGAUCUUAAAACUUAAGUAUCAACAUGUUUGAUUCAAUUACGGUGAUAUAUCUCUCUAACAUUACAAUGAAUGACAAACUCCGAUUCUGUAUCUCAAUAUGUCAAAUCAAAACAUUUCGACCGAAGUGCUUCCUCGACAGAUUCACAUGAACCAAUAUUCUUUAACAUCAAACAAGAGAGCUCAGUUAUUUGGUCAUCGAGGAACGCAUAUGUUUGCUCAUCGAUGAGCGCCAAGGCACUCUAUCGUAGCGAAGCACAAUGCUGUGACAAUGGGUUGUGUUCAAACUUAGCACGAAAAUUAAAAUGUCCAGUAGAUUCUUAAACUUUCUACUUACAUCACUUCCCUGUUCUCCUUACCCAAAUAUGGCUCAACUGUUGCCAAAAGAAGGGGUUUUCAACUUUUUAUUACAUAAAUUAACCGUAGACUAUAUAACAAAAAAUGGGGGCAAACAAAAGAUUAAUGUUCUUUUAUUAUUAUUUAUUUAAACCCAAACAUUAGAAUACAAAUUUCAGCAGCUUAAAUCAAUAAUCUAAAUAGGAACCAUUGAAGAGCAACAGCCCUAGCUUGUAUUACAAAUUCCAUACAUUAGCAGUUGUUAAACUGGAACAACAGGCCUAGCUGCUUCAAGUGCUUUCUUAAUUCUCUCCACAGCAGCUUGCAAUACACUGAGGGAUUCAGCGUAUGAAAUCCGAAUGCAAGUAUCGUCACCAAAUGCAUCCCCUGGAACCAAAGCAACCUGAAAAUUCGAACAACCGUAUCGAUUGCACCUCUUAGGAUGAUAAUAAACUAAGAAAGGCUUUAAAUUUUAGAACAAUGAGAAAAAUCCAUUAGUGAGAAAAUAUGAUGUUUUGCUUCUUGAUGAACCUCUACCUGGCCUUUCUCAAGAAGAUAUCUGCAAAGUGACUCUGAAUUGUUGAUUACACCAAAUCCUUCAACUUCAGCUCCGUAGUAAGAGCUGAAAUCAAGGAAGAGGUAGAAAGCUCCCUACAACAAGUUACAAAAUCUUCAGAUAUUACACUGACAUCAAAAUUAUGAAAGAUAAGGAUGGGUUGGCAAAGAACACGCAAAAGGUUGUAGUUGGGACCUGAGGUUCUGAAAUCUUGACACCUGCGAGUUCGCCAAAGCUUUUUACCAAAUAAUCACGACGUUCUCGGAAGGCUUUCACCAUCGUGGCAACUGCUUCCCCACCAGCAUAGCCCAUUCCUAGAGCUGCAACAGCUGCUUUUUGGGAUAUGCUACUUGCUCCUGAAGUGGACUAUCAUAACAAAUAUACAGAGUAAGUUGGUGAUGGGAAAACAUGCUCUGACAAUUAACAAUUUGAAAACUUAAUCCAAGAAUUUGAUCCAUCUCAGGUUGCAGCAUAUUUUUUAGAAAGAGAAACUAUUGCAUAAAUAAAAAAGAUAUCCCUACGAGAUGCGGGACACAUAUUGACUUUUGUGCAUUGGGAAUAAUUCCAUAUCUCAAGUUAAAGUUCCAACUUUGAAUUUCCAAUAGGUAUUCAGUCCCUUUACACUUUUGUUGCCCUGGGGCUUCAGCCAUCAUCCUUACAUCAAAUUCUCAAACACGAAACAGAAAUUCAAAGUAUCCCUAUACCUUUGUCUGGAAUUUUGAAAAUAUGCAUAACCAUAUAAAAACUUGUAUACCCUACUUCCAGAGAUGGAGAUCCAAGAUAGUUCCAAAAGUCAUUCUACAUUACCAAGUCAACUGUGGUUUCAAAACAACCUUCCUGGAUUUCCUUUUUUUCUACCUUUACUUUCUACUAAGUACACAAUAAUAGGAUAGAUGCUCAAAAUGGAUGAAGACAUUCUCUAAAGAAAAAUAUUUUCACCAUUGUCACUAGAAAAGAAAGUAAGACAAAAUGAGUCAACACAAUGCAAAGACGAGUUCAAAACGAUUGAACAUUGCAUAACUAAGCUCAAACUGCUAAGAGAGAUGAGAAAUACUAAAGUUUAAACAUACCUGACUCUGAAUUUUUCCACAAGCAGAAACAAAGUGUUUGGGACCAGCAAUAUAUCCAAGUCGCCAACCAGUCAUUGCAAAGGCCUAAAACAUUACACUUUCAAAUGUAAAGGAAUUGUAUUGCUAAACAUACCACAUACGAACUUUCACAUGGUUGGUAGUAGUAAAGAUCCAAACUUUUCAUUACCUUAGAGAACCCAUUAACAGUUAGAGUUCUUUCCCACAUGCCUGGCAAAGAUGCAAAGCUGGUGUGAGUUGCUGGAGCGUAAAUUAUGUGUUCAUAUAUUUCAUCAGACAGCACCUGCAAACAAUAGAUAAUUUAAGAUCAAACAGUUCAAUACAGUACUUUCAUCACAGUUAAAGAAACCUCACCAGAAGUCUAGGAUGUUUUGCAACAAUUUCAGCAAUCUUUUCAAGUAGUUCCUUUGGAUAAACAGAUCCUGUAGGGUUGGAUGGAGAGCAAAGAAUCAACAGUCUCGAUUUCUCUGUGAUCUUUGAUUCAAGAAGCUUUGGAUCCAAAAGAAAGUUAUUGUCUAUAUGUGUUGGAAGAAUCACAGGAGUUGCAUCAGCCAGCCUUGCCAUUUCCGGAUAGCUUACCCAAAAAGGAGCCGGAAUUAUAACCUACAGGGGAAAAUAGGCAAUCAUGAACUGUUUUAUAAAUGGAUGAAGUUCCUUUAAAAUAAUAUUGGUACUACAUGGCUAAUUGUCUUAAUAUCUCCCCAAGAAUAAGCUACUCGGAUCAAGAUUCAACUAUUGUACCUCCUAGUCAUAUCUCUUUGCAACUGACUGUCAGAGUAGUAUAAAUCUAUUACAUUCAUCGAAAGACCAAGAAAACCCUUACCUCAUCCCCUGGAGAACAAACAGCAACAACUGCCUGAAGAAUACUCUGUUUGGCUCCAUUGCUGACCAAUAUUUGAUCUGGUGUAUAUGAAAGCCCAUUCUCAUCUGGAGACAAAGAGAGAAAAACUCAACCACAUUUCUAAACACUCAAUGGAGCUAGUAUACAACUCAACCAUAUUUCCAAAACUCCAUCCCCUAAACACAACUAACCUUUCAGCUUAUGACAAAUUGCUUGGCGGAGUUCCAAUGUUCCUGCAUUGGCCGUGUAGCGAGUGUAGCCAUCCCGAAUUGCAUUAAUGCCAGCCUAACAUUCAUUUAGGAGUAAAAAGGAUCGACUAACACACGUUGAAAGAUGAAAAUAUACAUAUACUAGCAUCAAAAGAAAACUUGGACAUUGAACACUAAAAAUUUUAGCAUAAGAUAAUACCUCAGUAAUUGGGGCAGGUGUAUCAAAAUCAGGUUCACCAGCAGCCAACCGGAUCACAGGCACACCGGCUUGCACAAGAGCCGUAGCCUGAUCACUUAUGGCAACUGUCUUGGAAGGUUUUACAGAGUUCACUCUUGGGCUCAAAGAAAUGUCGACACUCACAUGGUCGGGAAUAUUUCCAGCCAUUACUGGCUUCACUUUCUUAGUCAACUGUACAGACCUAUCAUAAAAUGGAAAGUUUAAGGGACAGAGAAAAAAAAAGGUAUAAUAACACGUUCCCAGCAAUUAUAGUCAAAGAUAAAAACGACCCAUCAACAAGGAACAUAGAAAUUCCACAUAAAAACCAUAAAUUCACUCAAAGAGCAUAAAAAUGGUCCGCAAAAGAGAAAUCAUCGCCCGAAGCUAAAACCCAGAAAGAAUAAAAGUAAAAGAAAGCAGAGCAUACUUGAGGGAGGGAGCAAGACGUUGAGAAGGGAAAGAUAGGGAUCCAAAAGCAGAAUCCAAGGUAGAAUCAGCUCCAGAAAAUUGGUGUCUGAAUCCAAGACGAGAAGCAUCAGGUAAAAUGUGCAAGGAACUUGCCAUGGCAAAGUGGAAGGUAUCCGGAUUCAGCAGGGACAGCAAUAGAACAGGAGUAAUUGAGAGAAAAAGUGGAAGAAGAGAGAGUUAAGUAGGCAGAAGGCAGCAAUAAGAAAUGAAGAAGAGAAGGAUGGGUUGGUAGAGAAAGGGAAGGAAAGAGUGGGGAGUUGGUGGAGAUGACGAAUGUCGGAAAUUUCGAUCAAGAGGCGGAGUUAGGUAAGGUUGAGCAGUUGCCGUAGUUGACCUGAGCCGUCGGAUCCAACCUCUUGCGUCCAUGGUGGGUAGGUUUAUUCCAUUAUAAAACCUAUAAACUAUAACACAUUUUUCCCUUUUUAACAUCUUCUAUAAACGUCUUUCAUUUUUCUACUCUAUAAUAUGUUUCAUUUACGAAAAUGUAAAUCUUUAAACUAAAAUUGUCACUCAAUACAAUUUUCCUUCUCUCUGUUCACAAAGCUAUGGAUGUUUGUAUAAUUUUAUUUGAAGAUUGGAGAUGGAUACUUGUAUCUUUGAAGUAGAAGAUGGUGCAAUUGGUACACACUUCAUGUGAAACCAUCUCUUUUUCACAACAAACUCAUUAGUUUCCUUUCCUAUCAAAACCUUAAAAUCUCUCUCUCUCUCUCUCACCAACACAUACUUAGGAAACGUUUUUCUCGUGGUGACAAGUGGCCUUCUUUACUCUUCUGAUCUUGAUGUUAAUCACUUCUUCUUUUGGUCAUUCUUAAACUAAUUAUCAUCAUUGUUAGUUUUAAUUGAAUAUAUGUUUUUGAUUGUUUAUUUAAAAAAUGACCAAAAGUAUGCAAACUUCCCUUGUCCACUGCCACCAAUUGAUACUAAGUUAGAGUUGUUGUUGCUGCUAAGAAACAAAGAUUGAUGAUUGUCUCUUCCUUCUGCUCAUGCUCUCUGUUUAACCAUUUUGGCUAGCUAACAUUUUUUUAACUUUUUUACUACACAUACGAGUGUGUUUUGUUUGGAAAAUUGCUAUUCAUUUCUCGGUUGUACGUGGGAGGGUCACUCACACACACAAUGAGAGAUAGAGAUAAUGAGUUUGUUAGAAAAGUGAUUGGUUUUGUAAAAUAAAAUAUGUUUUGUGUUUAGGGAUAACAUUUUUUUUUUUGUUUAAAUGGAAUCGCAUUUAUGAAAUAUUGACUUUUCUUGGGUACGUAGUCUGUAGUCUGAGCCAACUUUAAUGUAUUCACAUCUAAAUAGUUAAUGGUUGAAUUACAAAUUUAGUCUCUAAACUUUUACGUUUGUAUCAGUUUUUAAUUUACUAUUUAAUCCAUUUUUUUCUCGUUUUUUAAUUUUAUACUUAUGAGUUUCGUUAAUUUUAAUAUUUCUAUUUAAAAAAUAUAGUUUGUAUUUCAAGUUAUAAAUUUGAUACAAUUACAAAUUUUCAUUUAUUCUUUUACUUUGUAACUAUAUAAACUAACACGAUUUGGUAAAUUAAAUAUGCGAUAUUUUUGAACUCUUGAUAUAUUUAUUAGAAUAAGAAAUUUUGUUUUUUCACAUAAAUAAUUUUUUUUUCUCUUUUAGAAAAACUACAAAGUUAAAUAUAACCAAAUUAUUUUUUCUUUUCAAAAGAACUACUUCAUAAAUUAAACUUAAAAGAUUGAUUCUACAUUCCUAUAAAAGAAAGAAAAAGAUUAGUUGGAAAGUUAGUCAAUAAUCUUUGAGCUUAAAAUAAUUGUUGUUUUUCUUAAACAAAAAAAAGUUUCACAUUUUACAAUCUUUAUCUUUUCAUUUAAAAGAAAUAAUCAACAAUUUAAAUUCAAAGGAAAAAAACAAAAUAAAGAAAAGACAAAAAGGGCAUAAAUUAUUCAACCACGUUUCCUUUCAUCUAAAAAUAAUAUGUAGAAGUGUCAAAAAAGAAAAUCCAGUUUUCUUUAAAUAAAUAUUUCUUUCUAUAACUUUACAAAACUAUUUCUUACUUUUUAUGUUGAAAAAAAAAAAAAAAAAAAAAAAAAAACUUUGGAUUCAAAGUUAUUAAUAUUUUUUCAAUAAAAGAUUAUGAUUAAUAAUUUAAUAUAAUUUAAUUUCCCUAUAAUAAUAAUUGAAAUAAAUAAAUGCUCAAACUUCAUCUCUUGCUUCAUUCAAGAGCUCUUUCAGCAGAAACACACUGAAGCAUAUCCUUUUUCCUUUUUCCAUAAACGCCAAACCCAACACAACCAUGGAAUUUUUUUAACAUGGACUGUGUUUCUUUGGCAUAAUAAAAGCUUUAGAUGAACUGAAAUUGAAGAAACUCGGAGGUUUUCAGGUGGUGUGUUUCUCUGUUUUGUGUUAGAUUUAGAACUAAAUCUAGAAAUUUAGCAAAAUUACUUGUAUUUUUUUUUUCCUCAAUGGGUUAUCGGAAUUUGGGUUUCUUUCCAUUUCCAUGGCUUCUGUGGCUAUCUCUGGUUCCCCUUUGUAUGGGGAGGUUUGUAGUGGAGAAAAACAGCUUGAGGGUGACUUCUCCUGAGAAAAUCAGGGGGACUUAUGAUUCUGCCAUUGGAAAUUUUGGGAUUCCUCAGUAUGGAGGUAGCUUGGCAGGUGUGGUGGUUUAUCCAAAGGAGAAUCAGAAAGGUUGUAAAGACUUCGGUGAUUUUCAUAUCUCGUUCCAGUCGAAGCCAGGGUCUCUCCCUAUAUUUGUCAUGGUCGAUCGUGGAGGUAACUUUUGUUUUGGGGUUCUUUUGAUUGUUGUUACUUUGUGUGUUUUAAGGUAAAGUUGAUUUGUUGUUGGUGAUUUUGAGUUACCAUUUUCUUGAUCUAAGAAGCCAUUUGUGAAUGGGUUUGAUUUAGCUUAUGAAUUGAUAUUCCUACUUCCUGGGUUUGAGGUCUUUCUGGUAUGUUAGUUUUUUUUUUUUUUUUUUUUUUUAUACUUCUGUUGAAAUUGAACUGGGUUUUUAGCUCGGUUAUAUUCUGGCGGCUUCUCAUGGCUUAUUGAUGAGAUGGUGUUCAAAUUACCAUUUUUCUCUCUCUCUCUCAUAGAAACCUGGGCUAUAGUUUUGCUUUCAUUGGUCUUGCACAUUGGGUUUUGUAGAGCAUAUACUCAAGGCUUUUAGACUUUUAUUUGAACUGAAGUUGCAAGUUCUUAGUUUGUAACUUGUCUCUUUCUUCGAUCAAAAUUUCUGUGGAUCUUUUUGAGUUAAAAAAAUAAUUCUUGCGCAUACCAUCGUCAGUUCAAAACCUCAUAUAUGUAUAUUAUGUAGGUUUUGAUGUACUUUUGCUCAACUUUUUGUUCUUUUCUUUUAUCUUUUGAACUUGCAGAUUUUCUUGUGAAUUCUGUGACAGCUCCUUUGAAUAUCUUAGCAACUUGUCUGAUAGCUUGUCAUGUUGUUUUUUUCCAGAUUGUUUAUUUGCCCUUAAGGUUUGGAAUGCUCAAAAGGUAGGUGCUUCUGCAGUUCUUGUUGCAGACCACCUUGACGAGCCAUUAAUCACUAUGGACUCACCAGAGGAGGAUGGUUCAACUGCAACAUACGUAGAAAAUAUAACAAUACCAUCUGCACUUAUAAGAAAGGGUUUCAGUGAACAAUUAAAGAAAGAAAUCAAUGCUGGGGAAAUGGUCAGCCUGAGUCUUGAUUGGAGAGAAGCUGUUCCACAUCCUGAUGAUCGUGUGGAAUAUGAGCUCUGGACUAAUAGUAAUGAUGAAUGUGGGUUUAAAUGUGAUAUGUUGAUGGAGUUUUUGAAAGAUUUCAAGGGUGCUGCUCAGAUACUUGAGAGGCGUCGGUAUACUCAGUUUACACCACAUUAUAUAACUUGGUUCUGUCCCCAGGCGUUCACCUUAAGCAGACAAUGCAAAUCACAGUGCAUCAAUCAUGGAAGAUACUGUGCUCCUGACCCAGAGCAGGAUUUUAAUUCAGGAUAUGAUGGAAAAGAUGUAGUUAUUGAAAACCUGAGACAGCUAUGUGUUUUCAGAGCUGCAAAUAAUACUGGAAAGCCCUGGAUUUGGUGGGACUAUGUAACUGAUUUUCAAAUUCGAUGCCCCAUGAAGGAGAAAAAGUACAACAAGGAAUGUGCUCAUUCUGUAAUCAAAUCACUUGGUUGGUGAUUUCUGCUGUGUAUUUUUCAUGUUGUGAAAGAUGGUGGUCGACCAUUUAUUAUGGUGUAUGGUACCUUAAUAUUUGUCUGACAUUUUGCACAGGGCUUGAUAUGGACUCGAUAGAAAAGUGUAUGGGAGACCCAGAUGCUGAUUCUGAAAAUCCUGUCCUCAAAGAAGAGCAACAAGCUCAGGUAUAUAUUCCUUCAGAAUGGAAGCAUAGUACUUUUAAAACUAAUGUUUGAAGUUCAUUGUUGGCAACUAUUAAUUUAAUACUAACAGCAAUAUCAUGCUUGAAACUAUAUUGAAUUUAGAUUGGGAAGGGAUCAAGGGGUGAUGUAACCAUAUUGCCAACUCUUGUGGUCAAUAAUCGACAGUAUCGAGGUUUGUUUUUUUGCUUAUCACCCUUGGAUAAGAUUUCGGCUGUUUCCUAAACUUAGUUUUGUUCAUGCAGGAAAGCUGGCAAAGGGUGCCGUUCUUAAGGCCAUAUGUGCAGGUUUUGAGGAAGCCACUGAACCAUCUAUUUGUUUGAGUAGUGGUAAGUUAACUUUUCUCUUCACAUGCAUAAGUUGAAUUUAUUAUUAUGUUUGUAUAGGCAAAAGUAAACUCUCAAGCGGGCUAAAAUUCAUUGCAGAUAUUGAGACAAAUGAAUGCUUGGAGAAUAAUGGUGGUUGUUGGCAGGAUAGAGCGGCCAAUCUCACAGCUUGCAAGGUAGGAAGAAAAUUAUUCAUCCACAUAUCCAGUUACUUUAUAGGUAUUUGAUAGUUUUUGUUGUCAAUGAUUAUUUUGAGUGUUCAUUCAGGAUACAUACCGUGGGAGGGUUUGCGAGUGCCCCCUGGUAGAUGGGGUGCAGCUUAAAGGAGAUGGUUACACCAUCUGUGAAGGUAAGAACGAUCUGCUUUGUCAUUUUCUUUUUCUGUAAGAAAGGUGAUAGAAAAUUAUGCCACAGUGUGGUCUCUGUUUAGUGUUUACCAUCUGUCCCAAAUUACAAGUAGCCAUUACUUUAUAAACCUACAACAUUUGCAGAGACCACUGCUUAAACCACUUGCAAGAAAAUGUCCUUUUGUGCUCCAGUCUAUUUUCACUCUGUUGGCUAUGGACUUUAUGCUGUUAAGUUUGUCACGACAUAAUAAAAGAUAUGAUUGUUAAUGUUCCUUGUAGAGAAGAUUUUUCUCAUGCGUGCAAUUAAAAUUUUCAUCCUUAACACAAGCUUAGAUUUUUCAACAAAUAUGUUUUAGUCAUGGACUUCAAGUUCUAUUUAAUCUUGUUUCUAAAUUUUAAAUGUGUACAACCUAAUAGAUCCUAAUAGAUCUUCUCUCUCUCUCUUUUGGCCUAGUAGCUAGAGGGCCUGGAAGGUGCAACGUAAAUAAUGGUGGCUGUUGGCAAGAAAGUCGUAAUGGACUUUCAAUGUCUGCUUGUGUGGUUAGUUAUCUAAACAUUUUUCUGUUGUUUUUUCCUCAUUAGGCUUGUUGGUUAUAAAUUUUCUUACUGUUGUAACAGGAUAAUGGGGAGGUUAAAUGUAAAUGUCCUCCAGGAUUUAAAGGUGAUGGUGUCAAAACAUGUGAAGGUAAACAAACUUUGAUUAUGCCAUGUUCAUGGUUUGCUAAAUUUUGGUUGUUUUUCCAAGCUUGGAGAAAGUUUGUUCUUUUUAAUGAAAUAAACAUUUCUACUCCAUGUGCUUAGGUGGUUAUCACUUAUAGCCUUGAGGGGUCUUUUACAUUUCUGUUGAUAAUAAACGGUGAUUGUGACUAGUGCAUGUUUAUAUAGUCCUAAUAUGUUGGAUACAAAAAGCCUAUUAUCCAUUUGUAUAAGGCCCCAACAAAUGAUAAUCAAUAUUAAUUCAGGAUUAAAUGACAUUACAUUGAUUUGAGCACAGGACCUCCGGCUCCAAUAACUAUGUUAAACCCCUGAUUAACCUUAAAGCUAAAUUUGAUUGGUUAUGGUAAAUUUAAUUAUGUUAACAAUUUAACAACAAAGCUGAAGAGACCUCACAACUUUACAAGAUAUGUAGGUUACUCCUAGCAAUUAGUUUUGAUUGGGAUUUUACUUCCUCUUUAUAAUUGAAGGAAAAGAAUACCAAUCCAAUAUCAAUUGAGGAAAAUUGAUACACAUGUGGUAUAAAAUCAUCAUGACAGCAUAUGUUUAUAUAUCUUCCAUUUGCAAGAAAGUGAUCCUUCGAACUAGUCCACCCCAGUGCUCUCAGUCAGAUGUUGAUAGUAACCCUUUUAAAGGAAAAGUUAAAUGUGUUGUGGUUCAACCCAUCAUUGUGCUAGGAUACUUCCUAACAAGAAUCAAGAUCUCAAUAUAUUGAUUAUAUCUAUGAAGAAAUACAAGAUAAUCCAAGUAUAAAGGAACUUGGAACCUCCCUUUGCUCUCACUCAAACCCUAGAUUAACCUAACCCUCACUCACUCAUCUUACUAUUUAUACAACAUCCCCCUUAACACUAACAUGCUAAUAUUCUUUUCUAGGUACCUAACACAUUGCUAACUAACUUUCAAGGGUAAAGAGUGAGUGACCAAUACCCUGGUUAUUAAAGAAGAAACAGAUCUAGCCGGUUAGACUUUUAGUUGACCCAAUUAGCUCAUGUUAUCAAAACUAAAUGACGAUUCUUGAUAUGAUAAUUGUUGCUAUGCAGGAAGGUUUUUUUUUUUUUUUUUUUAGUAUUGAUUUAGUGAUAAUUUUGGGAUAUUUAUCAGAUUCAUUUUCUUUUUCAUCCUUAAUACCAAAUGAGAUACUGAGCUUGACAGUAUGAAUUGAAAAGGUGAUUGCGUUUGGAAAGAAUUUACUUCCUUAAACUUCAAUGGAUCGUAUUUGCUGUUAAUAACUUCUAAACUUUUUUCAAGACUGCUUCCUGAUACCGCUUGUACUUUGUCCUUUUUCACUAAACAGAUAUUAAUGAAUGCAAGGAGAAGAAGGCUUGUCAAUGUUCUGAAUGUAGCUGCACGAAUACAUGGGGAAGCUAUGACUGUAGUUGUAGUGGUGAUCUUUUAUAUAUGAGGGACCAUGAUACCUGCAUAAGUGAGUACAUUUUGACAUGAUUCAAUUACAAGUGAUCAUAACACAUGGUUCAUUUGAAUGCAAUAAGUUCUCAAAGUUAGCAUAUUUGAGUAAUAAAUGAGAAAUAUAGCCAACACUGGACAGAUGUAAACAUUUUUUUUUUUUUGUCUUGCCAUCAUCUUGUGUAGGUAAGAAUGCUAGCGCAGCAAAAUCAUCUUGGAGUUUCUUUUGGGUUAUUUUGAUUGGCCUGGCUAUCGCUGCUGGUGGAGCAUAUAUGGUAUACAAAUACAGAUUAAGGGUAAGCUAUUUUCGACUUGGCAGCUGUUUGUAUUAUUCAUGUUCUGAAUAUAAUCGACUCUUAUACAAGGACAAGUAUUUCCUUUUUUUAUAUUAGUGACACAUUCUCUAUCAUGAUGUGAUAUUAUCUACUAUGGACCUAAAUCCUCAUGUUUUUCUUUUGGUUUUACCCAAAAGACUACGACAAAUAUUUCUUUUUCGAGUUCUCAUUUGAUUGGAUAUCCCUAUUAUAUUACUUCCAACCUUCUUUUCCACCGUUUUACUCUUCAUGAGCUCAUUCCAAGAUUGGUUAACAUUUCAUCGUAAUCUAACUCCCAAUAAUUCUAUUAUAUUCUAGCCUCCCAAACUGGCCCCUAGCUCAAUUCUUGCGUUCAUUUUCGUUUAAUAUUCCUUACCUGCAUUAAUCAUUGAUAUGAAAACGAAAAAAACCAGAACAAUCGAACAGAGCACUUCAAUGCUACUUUUACUAAAAUAGAGAGGACAGGGGAUGCUAUUUUUCAACACAACCCGUCUUGACUGCCUUCAAUUUAUUUUGUUUGUGCAGGCAUAUAUGGAUUCAGAGAUCAGAGCUAUUAUGGCACAGUAUAUGCCCCUGGACAGCCAAGGAGAAGUGCCAAAUCAUGUCCACGGGGACCGCUUGGACCGCCUGUGAAAGCACCUUACAUCCUUUCAUUUCAAGGAUUGUAGAUUCCUUUACAAAUGAAAUGGUUCGUUGUGCUCUUUAAGCCACUCGUUGAAUUUUUGAACACGGAUCUCUUGUCAGGUUUAUGUACAUUAUUAGAUAAUAAAGUAGUGCAAAUUUGAAAUCCCUCAUUGACUUGAGGUUGUAAGCUUUGUUAGCAGGUAAAGAUAGUAAUUAGGCUUUAGGUAUAUGUAUGGUUAGGGAUUUAGUUUGAAGCAUUUGAUAAAUCUGCCAACAACUUAACCUACUUCUUUUCAUGAAUACAUUUGGCUUCAUGUUGCUAUUUGUUCAUGUGAGAAGUAACAAGCUUUUACCUCAUCUUUGUAUCAAUAGAGAGGAUCAUGCUAAUCGUAGAAUAACUUCACUCGAAGCAAGACGAUAAUAAAGCUGAUGUCAAGAUCAUAGAAAAUUAGUAUUGUACGACGAAAAUAACAAAGACAGAUCAAUUUUGAUAAUAUAGUUUGAGAAGUAAAUACUGUCAAUGAUGUGCAUAAUUUCUGCUUUUCAUUUCAAAAUACAAAAGGAAAUAAAGUCUUUAAAUAGUACAAAGACACAUCAAUGUUAUAUUUUUUUCAUCAUUAGAAGUAGUAUGUAUUAACUUGACGAGAUUAAACACAUAUACUAAAACAAAACAGAGAAGUCAAAGGAAAUUAAAAGUUGUGAAUAUCCAUAUGCUGAUGUGAAGAAUGUGGUUGAAUCCUCUUUUUUUAAGCUUAUUUGUCUUUCUUUCUAUUCUAAGGAAGAUUUAAUUAUCUAAAAGAUCAAUUUUAAAUAUUUAAAAUAACAAAUGACUUAAAAAAAAUUAAAAUGUCAAAUGUUCUUUUGAUGAUGUUAUCAUCGCGUGAAAUUACACCAUUAUCUUCCUUUAUUGAUUUAGAGCGUUCUUUUUCCUUCUACUCGUCUUCUCAUCUCCUCCACGCUGUUUCUUUUUCUUCUCCGAUACCUUCUCAUUCUAAAUUGUCAUAUGCACUAUGUAGAGUUUUGGUUUAAAUUAUGCGAGAUUAUCUUGGAACUUCCUUUUUGUUUUGUAGGUGCAACCAUAUCAAUUGGGGAGUCAAAGAUGCUUGAGCCAAAAACUAAUAUCAUUUAUCCACUAAUCUCUCUAGAUUUUUAUUAAUACUAUAUCAUCUCAACCAAUAAGACAUACCAAGUAGGAACAUACUUUAAAGUUUAGUAAGAUUAUUGAUAUAAGUUUUUGGUAUCAUUCCCAAAAGCCCUUGCAAAACACUACUUAUACUACUAGAUAGCACAAGUGGCAAGUCUUGGGUCGAACCACGUGGAGUCUAAGAUAGAGUUCAUCAAAAUCAACGUUUGGGCCUUUAGCUCUGAAACAUCGUGACACUUUUUUCAAUUCUUCAAUCAUUUUCUAAUUCCAACUCAAAUUGACUCAUUUUAGUGUCGAUAUGUUCCAAAUGCUUCAUUCUACCCGUAAAAUAACCAACUAAAAGAACAUUAAACUAAGGGAAAAUAUUGAAUUAUAAGAAGGAUACAACAGAUUUGAAGUGCACUCAAUUAUUGGUUUCAUUUUGAUUUAUUUUAGAGACUAAAUAGAUGUCCCACUCUAACCCCCAAAUAACUAAUUAAAUUUAUGAUGAAACCCACAAUUCUUAACAUCUUUGUGUUACAUUAUAUAAUCAUAUAACAUGAUAAACAAUAUUAUUAUAAAUGUAGAUUGAGAGAGGAAGGUUGGAAAGUAUCAUUCACAUGCUGACUUUAUAUGGUUUGACAUAAGUUUCCUGUCAACUGAUACUAUAAAUAUGUUAUUGAAGAUUGGCAUUUAAGUAUUAUUUGACAAUUGCUUCUGAAGUACUUAUGUGAUAAGAAAAAAUACAAAUAAAAAAACUCAAAGUCAAAUAUAAACAUAAAAUAUCAAAUCAGGACUCUCUUUCUCCCCUUUUUUAAUUCAUUCUCAGAGUCCAACUAGUCGACAUAUAUACCAAAAUAAUUGAUAUUUAAUGUUGCAAUUUAUUAUAGUUCUAAUUUUCAAUAGAAGAAUGCGAAUUAUUAUUCAUUUGGUAUUUGAUAUUAUUUAGAAUGGAAAUUAAACCAUUAUGAACUUAAUUAAAUGCACUAUUUUAAAAAGAAAAAUCUAAUACAAAAUGAAGAUUAAGUUAUUAAUUAUGAUAUAUUAUUAUGGCAAUAACUGACUUUAAAAUAAGAGAGGUUUUGACUUAUAUGUAGUAGAUAUAUCUCAAUUUUGUAUUGGUUGAUAGUUGACAGUUCCAACUUUGUUUAUUGGUUUGUAUUAUCUUUGACAUUCUCAUUUGAUGUGAUAAUUAAUGAACUCCAAAGUCAAUUUUUGAGUAUAAAAACGAAAUUGAUUAUAAUCAAUGUGACAAGAACUACUUAGUUGAUCCUCUAAUUAAUGUGUGGUUAAUUAGUAUAGAAUUUGACUGAUAUUCGAAAACAAUUUCUUUGGAGUUUUGUCAUUAUUAUUGUUUUAAUUGAAAUGAAUAGGAAGUGAUUAUUUGGAUCUCAAAGCUGUUUCAUGUCGAAUUAACCCAUCAAACUAUAUAUUAGGUUGAGUUUAUGGAAUGUCACUAGAGAAAGAAAAAAAAAACUAUCAUAGGAAGAGUAAUUGCUCAAAUUAAUUAAAGAUUAGAAAAUGUUGCAUUAUAAUUCCUACUGCCAUAGUACUCUUCAUUAUUUUGCUUUAUCGAAGUAAUACAUGAUUGCGAUUACAUAUCCAACGAUAAUCUUUUUGGGAGCUUUUCUCUUCAAGAAGAGCAUAAGAUUGUUAAAUCUACUCUUUUGAGUAAUCUUGAUGGUGUCAAUAACGUGCAGGAUUUAGCUAUACAAAUAUAUAUAUAAAAAAUAUUGAAUAAUGAAUGAAAAGCAGUAAACUCCAUCUCAUAGUAUGUUAUUCAUGUAGUUAAGUUUUAUAAAUCAAAGUAAUAUAUGUUCAAAAGAUGUUAAUUCAAGCAUAGUUUAGUGAAUAGAGGACCGAUCAUGACUAUUCUAAAAUAUAUUGAUUUUGAAUUAUUAAAACAUAUAUUUUGAAGUUAUGUGUGUGUGUGUGGAACUUCAUGCAUAUAGUGUUAUGAAGUAUAACUGACAAAGAGCCGAGUUGAAGCCUUGAUAGUAUUUAACAUUAUUUAACAAGGAAAGAUGAGGUACGAUAUAGUAAGGGUAAUUGUAAUUGAUAACAAUUUGAGGAAUAACAAUUAUAGAUAUAACAAUAUUUAAAAGAAAUUGUAAAUAUAGCAAAACUAUCAGUGAUAGACUUGUAUUGUUGAUAUACUCGUACGAUCUAUCGGUGAUAGACCAAUAUUUACAACAUGGGUUAGAAGUGAUAAACUUCUAUUAUUGAUAAAAUUUGACAAAUUUUGUUAUAUUUGCACAUUUUUUAAAAUAUUGCUAUAUACUUAAUAAUUUUGAAUCUAAUUGCUAAAUAUACAACUAUCCCACGGUAGUAAUCGUAUAGAGCCUAUUGGUUCGAACCCCAAGAGACAUGUCACAUUUAAAAUAGAGUCUUUGUCGACCAAAAGGGACUAAGAAGACGGACUUCAACGACUUUUCAAAAAGUGUGCUACUUUCAAAGGGUGAAAACUAAAAAUCGGCCUUAAGUUUUUUUUUUCUUUCCCUUUUUUCCUUUUUUACUUCCUAUGUUUGGUUUUCAACUUUUAAAAAAGAGAUAGUUGCAAAUUUAGCAAUUAAAAAAUUUACAAAUAUAGCAAAAUCUGUUAAAUUCUAUCAAUGAUAAAAAACUAUAUUGUAAAUAUUGAUCUAUCACUGAUAUACCAUAUAAGUCUAUAGCGAUAGUUUUGCUAUAUUUACAAUUUUUAAAAAUAUUGUUAUAUCUUUAAUUAUUAUUUCUAAAAUGGUUAUCAAUUACACUUACCCUUUAAAAAAAACAACGGUCAUACAUGUUUGAUUAUUAUUUUUCACUUUAUUUAUAUAUAUAUAUAUAUAUCUAAAUUUAUAUUUUGGAAGCAUUUGGUGUUUGAAUAUUAAUCCAUAAACACCAAUUUGUCUCUAAAUUGCUACCUUUAUUAUUUACUUCCUACGAAUGUUUUAAAAAACCAAUCUGACUUGUUUUUGGGAAUUUGGGUUGAUGUUACCUUUUUAGUGUAUGAUAGAUGAAAAUUAUGAAAAUAAGUUAGGACGAUUAUAGAUUUAAUUUUCAACUAAAAACCAAAUUGUUAUUGAACAUGAAACUUUCUGAAUUUGGAUAAUUAGCAUUAGGAAGUCACAUUAAUCAGCAAAUGUAAGGCAUAAUCUUACAGCAUAUUUAGCACAGAAGAAGGAACAACAAUUACACAUAUUCCUUCAUAUAUGAUUAAACCUUCCUUUUGAGGCCAAAAUGAAUGAUCGAAGUCUUCAACUUUUCAUUACCAUCUUAAUUUCUUUUUCUUUCACAAGAAAAGAAAAUAAAAAGGUUAAAUUUUGAAAAGCUUAUAAAAUGGUAUCUCUAAAAUUUAUGAUUCUACAACAAAGAAAUUAUAACAGUAUAAACUAUUAUCUAUUGUGAUGCAUUGUCUUGCUUCAUCAACUUCAAGUUAAGUCCAAUGUCCAUUCCAUUGUAAGCAAUUGGUGCAUACAUCCAUAAAUCAUCCGAGCUCAACAACUGCAUGUUUCAUUCAACACAAAAGAAUAAGAACUUCAUUCAGAAAAAAGAAUUAUGAAAAUCCUUCUCUUGAAUAAUGAUUCAUUAUUCAACAAUUUACCUUGAUUUGAAGCUGCAAAAACUUCACGUAUUGAACAGCUUCUUCAAGCAUUGUACUGAUGUCAACCUGUCAGGUUUAAGAUAUAGAUACAAUAUGAGACUUUCAAACACCGAGAUGGUUCGAUAUAUGUAUGAUAUCGUACAGAAUCAACCUUACCUUUGUACCAUUUGGGACGAGGCUUUGUAAGAUUCUCAACCUUUCAUUGAUUCUUUCUCUUCUUUUCUGAAAGGAAAAUUCAAAAGAUUUACAAUCAGAUUCAAAAUUAUUAGUAAAUAUAGCACAAUGUAUGAGAAUUUGCAGAUAUAUUCAAUUUUCGAGUAUACUAGUGUGUUAGGAAAUGGAGGAAACAGGGGAGUGGUUUAGAGUUUAGAGGAUUACCCUUGCAUAGAGGCUUUGAGGGUCUGUGGCUGAGCCUCUACUGGCUCUUGGCUUUCCAUUUGAGGUUGAGCUAGAAGUGAUUCCACCAUUGUUUUCUUGAGCCUCAUUACAAUCAUCUUCAGAGCUGAAACUGCUUGUGCAUUGCCCAUUUGGACUAACAAUUUGAUCCUCUUCAUUGCAGCUACCUGAAGCAAUCUUCGAUGUCUUCCGUGCCCUCCCGCUCCUUUUUGUCUUUUCAACCUUCAUUACCACAAUGUUGUUAGAAUCAAAAAAGAAAAAGAGAAGAAACAAGCAGCCUUUAGUGCAAAUGAAAGCUUAGAAUAUAAAUCCUCACAUCAAGCAAACUUUGAGGUCUCUUCCUCGAGAAAUUCUCAACUGAAACCGGUCCAACUUUAUCAUCCCUCAUAGCUUCUUCCACCAUCACAUCAUUGGCUCUUCGUUUCGGUUGUGAGCUCUUCCCAUUGACAACAGAGUCAGCAGGGGAUUGUUGCAGCCUGCUGCAUUGCCUUGUUUUACGAAUAUUCGAACCGUUAUCGUCCAAGCAAUCGGCAUUCCGGACAUCCUCGAUGGAAAAAUCCAAGGACAAGGAAGCACCAUUAUUAGGCAACCAAAGAGUGGGGUUAGAGUCAUUGAAAGUGUAAGGAAGAUUGUUAUUGGGUUGUGAAAGGGCAUAGAUAUUGGAAGAAUCAGAAGCAUCUGAAGAAUAAUAAGAAGGUUCAUUAGAAGAAGCCCAAUAAGAAGAUGGAAUUUCCAAGCUUAAAUCUGAAUUUAACUCAUUAGGAAUACAAUAAUUGCUGAGUAAAUUAGCCAUAAAAUCAGAUUCUUCAGCAGUAUAAGCUCCACUAAGAGAUAUCCAUUCUCUUUCUGAAAUGGCACCUUCCAUAACUUGAAGAAAAGAAAAAAGGGAAUGUUUUUUUUUUUUUUUGAAUUUCUGUUUGGUACUUUGGUGUUUGAGAAAGAUGGGAUUACAAAUUUGUAAAGCUAAUUUAUAAUAAUGGUACAACAAAAAUUAAGUUGACUUCAUUUUAUUAAAAAAAUGAAUCAUCCCUCAGUUUAAUCACAUUAUGUUCUUAGUUUAAACAGAACAACCAAUGGGGAAAAACUCUAAAAAUGGGCCCAAAGACAACUCAAAAAUAAUGCUUAACCAACUGUAAUGGAUGGAAUUAAAAAAUUGAAGCUUUUUCAGUUUUCUCUAAACUAUAUAGUUAAAUUUAAUUAAUUCUUUUUCUUUUUCUGUUUUUUUAGUUCAAGAGCUAUCAGGGGAGGCUAAAAAUUAUAAACAACUUGGUUGGUGAAACUUGGUCUUAUUAGGGAGAAUUUUUUUAAAUGUUACAAAUAGUUUAUAUAGUAUAAGCUUUUCAUGAUAGAAUGAAGGAUGUUUGUUGACAAAAUGACAUCUGAUAUCUAAGAGUCAUAGAUUCCAAAAACAACUAUCUUAUACUGCCACACAUAAUAUCUCUCUUCUUUCUGAUCCCUUCUUGCAAUCCGAGUUCUUGGCUCGAAACGGGUCGAGUUAUUUCCGAGACUGAGAAAAUUUGAAGUUUAUGAGUUGGUGAUAGAUGUUGAGGAUUUUUUUGCUCCAUGAGAAGGAAAGGAAGGUGACAGUUUAAUUUCGAUUAGGUUCAUGUAGUCAUAGACUUUGUGAAGACUAAAAAACUACAAUAAUUUUGUGGGCUCUUUUGUGAUAAUGACAGAGACAUUUAUAUAUGCAUAUAUAUUGUGAAGAGUGGAAAAAGAAGAUGCCCUUUGGGAGUGUUGUUUGGCCUCAUUCUUAAGAGAGUCUUCUUUCCCAUUUGUUGAAAAAACUUGUAACUUAGUAAACUAAAAAGGUCACAAUUAAGGUAUAAUUCAUCCAUAGUUAAAUCAAAUAUAUUAUAAUUAGAAUCAAUCAAUUUUCUGUUUGUUUUAUUAGAAAAACUCUCUAAAAUUGAUACGUAUUCUUUUUCUUACAAUGGAAGGUGUAUCUAUAGACAUACAUAUAUAAACUAGAUUUUAAACAAAAACAUUAGCAGAAUAUGUUAUACACUGGAUUUUGAAUCUAACUUUGGUUAAUUUAAUUUAUCUUGUAUUGUAUAUUUUUAAUAUAAAUAUUGUGACAACUAUGUUGGCAUGCAUUAUUGGUCUGACCCUAUGAUAUAAAAUUUCAAAGUCUUGGCCUUAAUUGUGUUAAGCAAAAGAAUUAGAAAGACAAGGAAGAUUCAUCAAGUAAUUGAAUAUUAAACAAACUGAGAUUUGCUUGUUUGGAAUAUAUGCUGCUUUUGAAGAUCUCUUCAUUCUUUAGAAACAAAAAGAAAAAAGAAAGAAAAAGAAAGCCAAAGCAGCUGGAAUGAGGUGACAAAAUAUCAAUACUUUUCACUUUUGUUUCAUGAGUGGCCCCAUGCAUUUUGGACAGGAAAAUAAUUUUAAUGGAAAGAGUACAUAACAGUUACACAUAUAUAUAUAUAUCAUUGAGAUGAACUUAUAUCCACGUUAAAGAAAUUAAUGGUUAAUUGAAGCAUAUAGUUCAGUAGAUGUAUAUAAUAGCAGUUAAUACCUAAAGAUCCAUGGUUUGAUACUUUGCCUCUAUAAUUAUUUUUGAACUAUAUGUUUUGGUGUGGAAAUCACAUGUGUUCGUUGUUGUUGCAGCCUUCCACUUGGUUACUAUUUGAUCCCAUUUUGUGAGCUAAAUUGAGUGAGAGUUUAUCUCACAUCACUAAGGUUAGCAACUCUGAUGCAUAUGUUAGCAAAGUAUAGUUCAAGUAAACACACAAAAUUAAGGUCACCAUUGUUUUUAAAAGGUUUACUUACUCUUUCCCAUUUUGAGAUUGUAGAAUGGAAAAUUUUAAACUGGUUUUCCUUUGACACUAGUUUGUGGUGAUGUGUAACUAUGUCAAGAUAAUUUACAGUCUCUAGGUGUUAGAUAUAUCGAGCAUGACUUGGUUAUUAUUUUAUUAGUACAUAUCAUUGGGCUCGAGGUCGACUUGAGAUCUAAGACUUUUACGUUUUCUUUUGACAUACGUGUUUUCUCGUGUUUGUUUUUUUAUUUUUCCUUAAACUUUGGUUUGCCUUGAAAUAACCCUUGACUAGUUAAGGGAUCAAAUCUCAAAACUUCACGCUUUUAGAAUAAUUAAAAAUGUAUGGAAACAACGAGUUCUUUUUUUUUAAAAAAAGGAAAAAGAUAACUGAAUCAAGAGCUAGCAUUUGAUUAAUAAGUUGAAUAUAGCUAAAAAAACUUAGAAUCGUUAUAAAUGAUCGUUUUCCAAUUCUUAAAAACGGUUGUGAAAAUAUAUAUAUACAAAUCAAAUAUAUUUUGUAUAUGUUGUCAUCCAAUCAAAAUGGAUAUUGAAAAAUGGGUGAAUACUAUGAACACGCAUAAUGUUACGCCUACACUAUAUUGGAAAGCACAAAAAGUAACAACAUAAAGAAACACUAACACACAAAGUUGUUAACUUAGUUCAAUGCAACAAUACCUACGUCUAGGAGGUUGUACCCCUAGAUAAAAGAUGAUCACUAAUAGGAAAAUAGUUGUAUAUGUACGUAAUAAAACCAGUCAGAGAUAUAAUGUUUAAGAAGUACAUAACUUUUCACACGAAAACAAGUUUAGGCUUCCUCUAACUCUAACAUUCGUAUAGUGAGUCGAAUGAUCAAUAAUCCCCUUCAAACAAAUGCAGGUUGCAACCUGACUCACCUUCACCCUCUAAACCAAGUUCUCAACCUUGACAAAAACUUCGAUCCACGAAAAAAAACUAGUUAUUACACAUAUGUGGCCCAACCCUAACACCACCUCGUUCAAACACAUAAAUACCGAAACCAAGGCAAGGAAGGCAACUCACGGAAGAAAAUUAAAAAGCCAAGCAAUGAAUAAACCAAAUAAGGCAAGAAAUCCACAUGCAUGGCACAAAAACGAUUAAAAAGUAGAAGACAUCAUAGUCAUCAAAGAGGCUAAAAGAAAAUAUACCCGCUAACACACCACAAUAUAUACAAAAAUCUAGCCGUGUUUUGAAAGUGAGUUUGAAAUGGUUAAAUCACGCUUGUUAGAUUCAAAAUCACUCCUAAGAUAUUUUUAAUGGUUCAAAAGUGAAAAAUUAAACCUUAAAUUGGUUUUUGAAUGAUUAAAAGUAUACCACACGUCUUUAAAAAAAUGUUUCCUUUUUAGAAGUACAAGAGAAGAGUAGAGAAAAGGUUUAUGAUAGAUCUCAAGGUCUCCCACCAAACACCAUUGAUAUCUAUUCUCUUUUCAAAAACCUAUAUUUCCUAACAUAUUGAACACAAAUUCCUUUUCUUUGAUAUCUAUAUGUUUAUUGAAUAUAUAUAAGGCCGGCCGCUUGUAUAUAUAUAUAUAUAUAUAUAUAUAAACUUUGUAAAUUUGCACUUGCAUUUGUUUUUCUUUAAAAGAAAGUUGUGUAUUCUCAUGUUAUUUAAACCCAAUAAAUCAUGUUAUUUAAACCCAAUAAAUCAAAUGUAACGUAACCCUAAGCGUCUAAAAUUUAUAUAAACUUUGAUUGUUUCGAACUAAAAAAUUCAAAUGACCUAGAGAAUAAUGGAUGAUGAUAACACGAUAUCAAGACUUUGAUAUAGCUCAAACUUAAAAAUUAAAGGAUUUUUAAUUUUACUCCAAUAAUUUAUAGCUAGUGUAAUAUAGGUUGAAUGUGUGAUAGAUAUAAAUUAGUUAUAUAUAUAAAAUUCAUCUUUAAGUGAAAAUCAAAUAUCUAUCAUGCCUCAAACAAGGCCAAAAGUCUAUUAAAGAGUUAUCCAGAGCAUCACAAAAGAGAAAGAUCAAAGCGUUGGGUCAAUCGUUAUAGGUUGAUCAACUGUGAGUAAAUGAAUAUACCAAUAAAAAAUAAUUAAGCUACACUCAAUUUGAUAUCGUAUACCCUAAAACAACAAUAUCUACUUUGAAAUCGUGAAAGUUACAUGUAACCACAUAUGAGAGCAUCAUAAAUAGCUUCAUUUGAUAAGUCAGAAGAAAAAAGAAAGAGGUUAGGUUAGAGAUUAGAGUAUGGUAAGAGAGGUUGGAAGCAAGAUGAUAGGAGGAGAGUGGGGUAGGGAGCAUAAGCCCGAGGGCGAGAAUGAAGUGAGGGUGAGAUUUGUGGAGUAACUAAUGAGUAUGAAACCAAUUACUUGGGGGGGGAUAGAUUAGGUCAAAUAGAUAUUAAAAAUGUAAUAUUAAUUUAGAAAUUGAAACAGUUUGAAAUGAAUUUGGUUGAAUAGGGUUAUGUGAAAUGGGAAUUGAAUUUUUGAAAAAAGAAUAAGAAUUAGAAAUGUGCAUGCCAUCACGAUUGUUGUAGAGAUAAAAUUCAACUUGCCUUAUUGUUAAUAGCUGGCAGUUGGCACCUUCUAUUCUCUCAAUAUAUCCCCCCGACAAUCGUGUAUGAAAACGCGUUCAUUCUUCUUUUCUCUUCUCUAUAUUAUUUCUAUUUACUUCCUUUUUUCUUUUCCUUCCCCAUACUAAAUUAUUAUUCUAUUAUACACUUCUUUUUUUUAAAUAAAACUCUUACAAUAUAUUUUGGUUACAAUUCCAUUUUACAUUUUCUUCUUUCAACUAAUUUAAGUCUUAAUACUUAAGGAAAUCCAUCAAAUAAUAACAAUAAUUUUCAUUUUCAUUUUUUUUAAUUUUUAAUUUUUAAUUUUUUAUAUAUGUAUGUAAAAAAAAAAAUGCUAAUAAAACUGAUUAAUUUUAAAAUUUAUUCAUGUAAAUAAAAUUAGACCUCUAAAAUAUAAAAAAAUAAAAUGGAAUAAGAUCUAAAGUUAGGGAUAUUCUAACUUUAAAAUGUGUAUAUAUAUUUUUUAAAUAAUCGUGACAAUAUAAAGAUUAUUAUUUUUUUUCGUGUGUGUGUGUUAAAGAAAUAAUUUUGUACAUUAUUUUAUUUCAGCAAAUUAUAUGCAUGUUGUUUAUAUUUUAAUUGAUAAAUUAUGAACUCACAAAACUGUGGGGAGAAAAUCUUAUUGGAUAAUUGGAUUAUAAAACUCUUCAACUAUGGGAUUAUUAGUGGAAUUAUAUAUAUGUAAUGUUUGUGAAUGGCCAAUUAAAACAUAUAUAGUUUAUUGAAAUAAUAAAACAAUUUCAAAAUUAUUAUUUAAUAUUUUUCUCUAUUAUUGAACUAAAAAAAUCCAUCAACUCUUUCCAUUUUCUUCGUCACAUCCAUUAUAAUUAUGUUCUUUUAGUACAAAUGAAGGCGAAAGAUUUUGAACCAUAGACCUCUUCGUUCUUUUGUUAUUGAUAUCAUUUGAGUUCAACAAAAUAAGAGUUAAAAGCACAAGACUUAACGUAAUUAUCCACAAUAAAAUAAUUAUUAUAAGAGUAUAGAGUUUCUUUUAGAUUACGUGUUUAAAUUAUUUUUUAAACCUUAAAUUUUGUGUUGGAUGAUGUUUUCUUACGUUCUUGACAAAUAGUAAAAAUCUAUCGUUUCGUUACACAUAAAGUUGUAUAGUGUUUCAAAUAGGUCUCGAAUUUUGUGUAACAUAGGUCUAUAUGAAUUUUAAUAUAUAUAUAUAUAUAUCAAAUACUCGAAACAUUUUUAAGAAAGUUGGGACCAACUAACACACAAACGUAAAAGGUGUACAAUUUCUUGUUCUAAAUUCGUAAUUUGACUUAAUUGAUUAGUAGACAUUAACGUAAAAGAUGGAAAGUGAAAAUUUAGUAAAAAAUCAAAUUUAAUGUGUAAAUUUUAAAAUUAUAGGGGUCAAUUUUUUAAAAAAUAAAACUAAAAUCUAACAUAUAAAAUUGUUACAUUUUGGAACGUUGUAAGAAUAUUAAAUUUAAACUAAACUCAAAACAUAAAGGUCAAAAUGUCGCACCCCACUCUAGCAUUCUCUAUGGCUUGAGGUAGAGGUAGAGGUGUGAAGCUAGCACAUGUCGACUCUCUCACAACAUUUACUGAUCUCCUAGGCUUGACUAACUUGCUCAGCAAAACACUCUAAAAAGUUUAAUAAAUACUCAAACUUAAAAUAGUGGAAGACUUUCAAGUGAUUUGAAAAUAAACAAAACUAUAGAAGAUGUUUUUAAGAAUUGAUAUAACACAACUUGACUCAACUGGACAACUAAAAACAUUAUACAAGCCCCCAUAGAUAAAGACAAACUACAUCUUACUAAAUAAACUGGCUAACUAGCAAUAGUAUAGGUUCAGUUUUGAGAUCUCGAUCACUACUGGAAAAGGAAAACAUUUUGAAAAAAAUGAGUUGAAAGUUAACUUUAUUUUUCAGUUUUCCAAAACGAGCUUGCAUUUAUAAUAUGAAUAAAUUAUUUAUAACAAUCUUUCUUAAUACUCUAAUACUCAGUUUAGUUACCAACUCCCACUUACUAAGAACAGUAAUACUCUAAUUGAUACCGAUAACGAUAAACUAUAUGAAACUAAACACAUCGUAGUAGAAUUUAAUCAAUAUUAUCAAUUGUAUUCAUAAACUCGAAAUUUGUGUACGUGCCCAUUGUAAAUCUCAUGUGGCUGACAACUAAAUCCCUUUAGAAAUCAGGUUUUGCUUGAUUUAUGGUAAAUCUUAGAAAUAACUUGCUUAAUAUUUCAUGCUUGAUAACGAAACUUGCUCUUCUUCAACACUUUGCCAAACCUCAUUCUUUGUAAGAUACUUUUGUUUAAAUGUUUGCUUAUUUUAUCUAACUCUCAUGCUUUCUUUCAAAUUGUUUCUUAAACAUGCUUUUUUAUAUGCUUUUCAACUCAAUGUAAAACAAAAGAAUCACUCUCGAUAGUAAAACAUGUUUAAUAAUUUGAUAGAUUGUUUUCAAUACUUCACUAAAUCUGGUAUUGAAGUGUUUUUGCUAAAUCUCAUGCUUAGAAACAUAGUGUAAAUAAACCAUAUUGAUAAAAAUCGAUGCUCAAUUAACUCAAAGAUUACUUUAAACACUUUUGCUAGAAAUUCAUGCUUUCAAUAAGAACUUGAAAUCAUUAUGUGAAGACUUGCUUUAUAACUCAUUGAUCGAAAAUUAGAGAAAUUAAUCCCUAAUUAAUUAUCUUGAUUUUGAAAAAUAUCAGUGUUAAUUUAAAAUUCUCAAACAUGUAAAAAAUGACACUGCGAUGUCAUUGACAGUUGACACUACCCACACUCAUAGCUUGCUAAUGGGUAUGGUCAUUGACACUCAAACUUUCUUUCACUCCAACGUCUUUGAUCGCUUCAUCUACCUCCCACCUACCAUUGCCACACUUACUUUAGCGAUCAACUCCAAACUCGAACAACCAGGUUGGAUGCAAAACUAUUUUGUUAGAGUUAUUAUUAUGUAUUACUAUUAUUGUAAUAAAAAGAAACGUCCCAUUUUGAAAUUUAAAUCUUCUGAGGCAUGGGUGAAAAUGAUAAUAAAAACCCUUUUGGGAUCAAUCCAGGCCUCUUGGCUCUCUUCCUCUCUCCCUCUUCUUUCCCACAUCACAGCUCGCUCGCUCACUCACUCACUCACUCACUCACUAACACACAAACACUUCAAAUUCAAAAAAUCAAAUUUCAAAAUAUCAAAUUUCGAAAACUUCUUCCCUCUUCCUCUCUCUCCCUCUCUUUCGCGAACCAACUAUUCACUGUAAAAACCCUAAUUCUUCAUUUCAUCUGGCACUUCCAAAUCAAUUCCCGCUAUGACCGCCGUCCCUCCUCCCGCUGCUGGCCGGGAGCUUUCAAAUCCUCCCUCCGACGGCAUUUCCAAUCUCCGCUUCUCCAAUCACAGUGAUCACUUACUUGUUUCCUCUUGGGACAAGGUAUAUAACUUACUCUUUCCUUAACUCUCUCUCUGUUUCCUCUUCUUCUUCUUCUUCUCACCUUAUCUUUACUUUUCUUCCUUCCUAGACUGUGCGCUUGUACGACGCUAGCGCCAACGUCCUCCGCGGUGAGUUCGUACACGGUGGUCCUGUUCUCGAUUGUUGUUUCCACGAUGAUUCUUCUGGAUUUAGUGUUAGUGUUGACAACACUGUCAGGAGGUGGGUGUUUCUGUAAUUUUGUUUUCUCUCUUCCCAAAUCUUGCGGAUUUUAAAAAAAAAAAAAUUUGAAACUAGCUUCGUUUUGUUUUUAUUGCUUCAGGCUUGUUUUUAACCAUAACAAGGAGGAUAUAUUAGGGAGGCAUGAUGCACCUGUGCGGUGCGUGGAGUAUUCUUACGCUGCAGGUAUAUCUUUGUUGAGGUUUUGCUUUUUAAUUGAGUGUUCUCAAUUUUUAUUUUCUGAAGGAAGAUAGGAGUUCUGUUUCAUUAAUCAUUUGGGAAGUUUAUUACAUUACAUUAGAGUUGUGUUUUUUUAUUUAGUGGGGUUCCAAAAUAGUAAGUGAGGAUCAAAUUAAAACUUGUCACGACCGAGAACAAUGUUACGUUGGAGUGGCACCAGUUGAGUUGAUGGAUCAUUUCUUAUAUGUAAGAACACAGAAGGUUUCAAAAAUUAGUCAUUUUUAAUCGUCUUCUAUGUUAUUCAAAUGGGAGUGAAGGGAAAGGUCAGCUAGUUGUAUGAAUGGAAAAUCUAGUGAUGUUUUGACUAAGUUGUUUUAAUUCACCUUAUACGGAUGAAUUUCAAGGAGGAAUCCAUAGACUCAGUGUCUUUUUAUCUUGCCUUGUGAAACAUGGUUACUUUUAAAAUAUUGUGCAUACUACCUUCUCAAUAAAUGUGUGUUCAGUUGAAAAUGAAAGUGGAAGGGAUUUGUGAUGAUCAUUUUUGUUUUUGGAUGAUAGAGUUAUGUACUCUUUAGAGUCUAGAAUUUGAAUUUAAUUGCCUGGUUCAAAAUAUGAGUUGAAUUAUUGUUUCUAUGGUUUUUUUUUCCUCUAAAAAAAGAAAUGAUGAACUAUUCUCUCACAUUCGCUGGACUAUGGUGCCAAACUUCUUUUCAAGAAAAUAUGCCCUACACUGCAUUUUAGAUAUCAGCUAUUUAUUGUUGUUAUCUUAAUGCUGGAAAUUUGACAACGUAGGUCAAUGGUUUUCCAGGGCAAUUAAUUACUGGCGGUUGGGAUAAAACACUGAAGUGUUGGGAUCCUAGAGGGGCAAGUGGGCAGGAACAUACUCUCGUUGGAACAUAUCCUCAGCCUGAACGUGUUUACUCACUCUCUCUUGUGGGUAACCGUUUAGUUGUUGCAACUGCUGGAAGGCAUGUUAAUGUAUAUGACUUGAGAAAUAUGUCUCAGCCCGAGCAAAGGAGGGAAUCCUCGUUGAAGUAUCAGACUCGAUGUGUGCGUUGUUAUCCAAAUGGAACUGGUAAUUAUCUAACCUUUGAAAUGACAUUGUUGAUUAAUGAACCAUUUUUCUUCUUGUUAAACGGCCAUGUAAUUCUCUGUGUUGUUCAUAUGUGUAGUUUUGGUUGAACCUCCUGUUACAUUCUCUGUUCCCUUACCUAAUGCUUACUGGAAAAAGUUUUCUAGUUGCAUAGUUUGAAUUUUGAGGGUAGCACCUUAAAUCUUUUUUUAAGUCUGGAGAUGUUUCAUUCAUAAGGCCUCAUUCUACUAUAAUUUCUAGUAAAUUAAAACCACACUGUACGUAAUCAAUAUCAUGGCUUUGGUGCUGCAAUAAUGUAUGAAUUUAUAAUAUCUCUUUUGUGAAUGCAGGAUAUGCUCUUAGUUCAGUUGAAGGACGAGUUGCCAUGGAAUUUUUUGAUCCCUCAGAGGCUAGUCAAGCCAAAAAGUAGGUGUUAGUUAAAUAAUAACAAGAAUAGUUUUAAAUUGUAUUUUUUAUUCUUUUAUAUUUGAUGCAUUCUCUGUAAUAUUAAAUAUUUUAAAUUUCUUACAUCUAUACGCUUGAGCAGAAUGAAUAUCCAGAGUUUGAUAUAUUAUUCUUUCCUUGUCCCAGCUCUGAUUCACUAUCAGCUAUUUUUCCUUUAUCAUUAGUCUUUGAGCUGUAAUUAUUUGUCUGUGAUUUUGUCUUUUUGUAGGUAUGCAUUCAAAUGUCACAGAAAAUCAGAGGCUGGAAGGGACAUAGUCUAUCCAGUCAAUGCCAUUGCAUUCCAUCCUAUGUGAGUUUAUGGUUUAUUUUGAGUAAUUGAUAUAGCUUGAGUGAGCAUGUAUAGGCAUUAUAUUGCGCUAAGAGUGUGCUGGUGCAGUGUAGCAGGUGUUGUGGUUUUGGUUUCCACUCCCUUGUUCAAUGAAAGCGUCUCUUAGAAAAAGGGGCAAACAAUGUCACAUUUAGUUUCUGUUGCUACAUAUUUUGACUAGGAAAUAAUUUUACUAUGUUAGUCUUGUGCUUCAAAUUAAUGGAUUGUAUGCUAAAGAAGUUUUAACACGAAGAACCUUUUACCUUGUUACCAUAUUUUGAUCAAUGAUCUGUUUGGCAUCUGUUAUUUCCAUGCUGCAGCUACGGUACUUUUGCUACUGGAGGCUGUGAUGGGUACGUAAAUGUAUGGGAUGGAAACAAUAAGAAGAGGCUUUAUCAGGCAAGAUUUUUUGACCAUGUGCUAGUACUUUUGCUUCUGUCGACAACCAGUACGUUUCUUAAAAUUCUCCUUUUAUUACUCCAUCUCAGUAUUCAAAAUAUCCAACAAGUGUUGCGGCACUGUCAUUUAGUAGAGAUGGGCGGCUGUUAGCUGUAGCCUCAAGUUACACAUUUGAAGAGGGAGAUAAACCGUAUGUUCUCUCUCUUUGACACUCCCAUACACUAAUACAUUUAACAACUUUCUCAUCACUUUUUGCAACUUUUUUUAUUUUGUAGCCAUGAGCCCGAUGCCAUAUAUGUCCGCAGUGUAAAUGAAAUAGAAGUUAAGCCAAAGCCUAAAGUAUACCCCAAUCCUCCUACAUGAUUAACAUCACAGAAACCUCCCCUGUGAUCCAUGCUUGUCGAUUUUAGCCCUCUGUUGGUUUUCAUGCUAGAGUUACUUCAUGGUGGUUUAGAGCCAAGGUCCCAGGUGACUUGCAGAUUGCGCAGUUAGCAUCAUACAAAAGAGUCCACGAGACCUGCUUCUUUAUUUUUUUAUUUUCUUUCUUUGAAAACUUCUGUUUUGUAUUCCUGGCGAGAUGAGAGAAACAUAGCCUUGAAUUUUGGGAUGUACCCAUCAGUAGUGUGCUUAAUGUGUACAGAUGCUGUGCUUCUAUAAACUUUCCUCAAUUGUUGUUAAGGAUAUGGAUAAAACACUUAUAUUUAUCACACUUUUGCCCUUCCAACAAGUUUUCUUGAUUUAGCCUAGCAUGUUUGUAAACUUCAGUUCACAGAGAACCUAAAUGAAAAACAGAUUUUCAUGGUGUGUUGAAUGAGUGGUUUGGUCAUAUUCCUUGAAAAUAAAUUAGAUAAUAUUCAGACCUUUGGUCCUUAAUCCAUCAUACUAAUCUUCUUGGUUUAAGUUCUAGUUUGGUACAUAAUUUAUUUAGUUUGAUACUAAAGUUUGUUUUAUACCAUUUAAUGUAGACCUAACUUGGCUUGUUGGAUUUUUGUGUAGACAAAUGGUUGGAAGUUUAGAGACUAUAAUUAGACAUUGCUUUUGUUAUUAGAUAAAAUAUUGUAUGCAUCGAAGUCUAAGAAAAAUUUGUUUAGUAAGUUUGAUUCUAAUUUAAAUUUCAUGAUGAAAUUUUGGAACCAAUGCUGUAACUUGCCUUGCUAUUGAUUCAAGGUUGAAAUUCCAUCCAACCACUAAAUUUAAAGAGAAUAUUACAAAGUUUAAGCUACCCAUGAAUGAUUCAGCUUUGUAGUGUUUGGUCUUGCUAUCAUUAUUUGCUUUUUUUCUCUCCUAUAGAUAGAGAGAGAAAGUGGAGGGUGUGAAUUGGGUGAAGAUUUAAGUAAGAAUGGGGCCAAGAAGCUUUUCAAGCAUGCAAAGACAUCAUACAUGGCAAUAAUUGGGCAACAUCCAAAAGGUCAGCAUAGAUUUUUUUUUUUUGCAUGGUUUCUCAUAUCUUCUCAUUUCUAUGGUUUAAGCACUCUGACACAUACAAAGUGACAUAUUUUGGUUUCCAAUUAAAUUUGCACAGACAAAAUGCUUCCCUUCCCAACCCCACCUUGUCAUUACAAAUUUCCCUUUCCCUACCUUAAAAAAGCAAACAAUCAAACAAUAUAAUCACUUUCCUUUUCUCCUUAUCUUGUCCCAAAUUUGCCGUAUCCCAGUCCCCUACAUAUUUCAAACAUCUGUUGCCAAGAAGUUCCCUCUCCUUUCCUUUGCAUCUUGUGCACUUUCACUUUCCCAGGAAACAAACAAAUUCAUGAAACAAUCUGGAUUCAAUUUCUCAAUGAUAAAAGGUUUUUCAAGUAUCACGGAAUCCUUGAAAACUCCCCCACCCACUUUUCAAGCAAAAUUGAUCACUCACGUUUGUAGUAGUGCAACUAAAAUACCCUGAGUUUAAUUCAUGGUGACCACCUAUCUAAGAUUUAAUAUCAUGCUCCAACAUGUUUAUUUGACACUCAUGUUUUUUUAGUAUCAAACAAGUUAUUCUAUAGUCGAAAUACACGUUAGUUUGGUGGGACACUCACAAAUAUAAUGCAAGUGAAUUUAUAAGUCGAUUGAUCAUAGCUAGAAAAACUAAAAAAGAAAUAAAAUGACGGGUGCUUAGAUCACCAAUUAUUUGGAAUCUCAAAAACUUGAACUUCUGAUUUAAUCCGUGAUGGGAUUUAUGAAGUGUUUAUUUUCUCCUUGUAUUGUACAAUAUAUAAUACUACUAAAAAAUGGAUUUAGAGUACAACCAUUGAUCGUAUGAUUUUAAUAAUAUUGAUUAGCUCAUGUGAUUGUUCUGGAUCAUGUAGUGAACAUACCACACACUCAAUGGCUGUCAUGAUUCAACGAAGUUGUGGGUUUCAGAACUUUGUGUUAAAUAUGUAGGCAAAUGCAUUAUUAGAAGUACACUAUAAAUGUCAAUUUUGUUGCAGCCUUAGGAAUUAGUGGCCAUGUGCUUUUUGUUAUGAAAUCGAAGUUGAGAAAAAAUAUAUAAUAUAUAUGAAAAAAUGUACUGAAUUUGAUAAAAAUUAAAGAAGAAUAUUUUGGAUUUGAAGCUCCCAAUUGAUCUGAGAUUAUUGUUAACUUGUCUCCCAUGAAUUUGCCUCAUUUUCACUGAUUUUGUAGUGCCAGACAAUGCAGGAAGUAGUAGUAGAUGUGAUUCCCCUUGAAAUAAGGGAUUGAUUAAUUUCAGCCACUAGAUGGAGUUAGAUAUCAAUUAUUAUUCAUGUAGGUACGUUGUAAAAACUGUAUCCAUAAUCUUAUUUCAUUCCUCGAUCAAACUUCAAUCGCAAACGCAGUUGGAUUGGUUUUGUUUACAUUUACUUGUGCAUUUUGCAAACAUAGAUUGUUUACUUUGCAUUGUUUGUUAUUAUUAUCUUCGAAUGUGAUAGUAAUGUAGCAGAUUCAUACUUGAAAAUUUUAAAACGUAGUUGGAUUGUGUUAGUUUGUUUCGAAUUUGACUAUAGAUCCCACAUCUCAGUACCACUAGGCAAGUAACCAUUAAUAAGCAUAUAAAAGGAAAUUCACUUAGCUUCUUAGUUAAUAAAAUAAGAGUGGUUGAAGCAAUUAGUCAUAAGGGCCAUGUUGUAGUAGCUUGGAAGGAAGUGUCCUAAAUGUCAAAGAAUAAGAAGGAAUGGUAAAUUUGUAGAUGAUGAAUCGCUGUUCUCAUCACAUGGCAUAGAUUACACAAAUCUUAUUAAUUGAAGUAAUUAAGUGGGAAAACCAAUAAUAAAAUAUUGACUCAUUGCUAACCACCAAACCAACGGUUUAGAAAAAAUAUAUAUAUUUAUAUAUACAAAAUAUUAAAAAUUCAAACUCCCUAAACAGAAUUAAAAAUAAUCCGCCUCGGGAAGAUUUGAAAAUCUUUAAACUUUUUAGUUAAAAUACAUGUUUUAUGUCCGUUGAAUUAUAUGUUUAUGUUUGACGAACUGAGUGGGUUAAGAGAUUCUCGUAUUUUUUGUUUUUUCUUUUCUAGAUGAAAUCGACAAUUUUUUCUUUAUUUAGUUGGUUGGUUCUACUAACCAUCGAUGUAACUAGUGAGUCUACAAGUUCAUCUCUUCUUCAAAAUCGACACUGACCGAUUGAUACUCACUUCAAUGUUCGUCACAAGUAGGUUAUUUGAUAGCGAGGUUAUAACAUUGAGAUAUUCUUAAAGAAUAUCCCAAAAGGUUUGAUUAAAAAAAAUAGCAUAUCCUUUUGUUUUGGUAACCCUAAUUAAGGCGUUGACUCUCUUUAGUCUCUCUCUCAAUCUCAUGAAAGAGUUUAAAGCAACAGAAGUUGAAACAAAAUCUCUCUCUUUUUGAGCUUAAAGAGAGAGAGAGAGAGUUUGAAGAGAUGAAGGAAUCUUUAGAGUUUAAUAUUUAGUUUAUAAAGAUAACAAUGUUUGUACAGUCAGCCCCAUGUGCUAAUUAACCCUUUAAAAUCUUUUGGGUUCCUCAAUGAAUUAACCUAAAUAUGUUAUGUUACUAACUCACCUCUUUCCUUUCAGUUUCCUUCUCUCUCUCUCUCUCUCUCUCUCUGUUUAUAUAUAUAUUUGAAUAAAGUACUCACUCUCUCUAUCAGAAUGAUAAACAAAUGUAAAAAGUUAUUCACAAAGAUUAUGAUGCUAUAAUUGAGACUCUUGUUUUCAGUUUUUUUAGAAGAUAUGAUUUUAAAGAAAUAGAAUCAACAAUCUCACAAGUGUAAUAGUCACUUCCAAAUCGAGUCAAACCCAGUAGCUGUCAAUAAAUAAACGUUGUUUCAUCAAAUCAACACCUACUUUAUGCACCUCAUUAAGUUGUGUGGCUAUAGUUUCUCAUGUGACAAAUCUUUCAUGUUUUUCAAUAAAUAUUUUAAUUCAUUUGGCAAGAAAAUGCAUUCAAGUAUUACUCUAUCUAUAGUUAAAUUGAAUCCUUAAUUCAAAUUAUGUAUAUUAUACUCGACCAUGAUUUUUCUUAUUCUAUUUAUUGUUUUAAGAUAGUAUAAAGAUUUGAAUUUAUCAACAAGGGAAUGAAUAUAUAUCUAUUAGAACCAAGAUGUAGUCAUGUAGAAAGAAAGAAGCAUCUACCCACUGCAAUAUUUACCCUGGUAUGUAUAUUUGUAAACAAUGUUAGAUUAAACAACUCCUUCAGCAAUGGGCAUUAGAUAAUUAAAAAUAGAAAUCUGUCAUUUGGUAUAUGUUGAUGUUGAUGUUGAAUAAGAAUUACUAUAUUUGGUUAAAUACAAGAAAGUAGUCAUUUUCUUACUUAUGUCUGCCAUGUGUUCCAAUAUUGUCAUAAUACAUAAUGGCUUCAAAUUUUCCUUUUUCUCUUCUUUUCUUGGGAAAGAUAAUAAAUAAGAACAAUUGAGAAAGUGAACAGAUCUUCACCCAAGAAAAAUCCAAAAUUUCAAUAAUUUUUCUAAACUCUUUUCAUUAUGGAGAGGUGAAAAGGAAAGAGAAAUAAGAGAGUUUUGUUGCAAAAGGACAAUGAGUUAAGCAACCCCAAGCAAAGGGGGGGGAAAAUGAAGACUGUUGAAAUGCCUCAGUAUUAGUAUUACCUCAAAAAUUGAAUAAUGUGUUACAAGUAAUAGUACUAGCAGCAACAUAUAUUUUAUUACCACAACUUUGUUAAUUUGUUUAAGCAACAUGGGUGUCCUUUCCUUUGUUCUCUAUUGGGUUCUGCCCUUCUCAACCAUUCUCUUUUCUCAAAGCUUCAACAGUUUCUUACUUCAGUGGUAAAACCCCCCCAAAAAAAUGAUCAUUUUAGGAGAGGGCUUGUUUGUUUUCUCGUUUGCUUCAAAAUUAUGUUAUAUUGUUUGCUUCUCUUGAAAGGUUUCAUCUUUUUCAAAAGGUUUUGAUUUUGUGGCUAAGAAAAAAGCACUAUUUACAUUGGCAUUUGUAAAUCGCAAAUUGCCAUUUUAGUAUCUUUGGUUUACUUUAUAUUGGGUUGUGUUGUGAUUUACACGGGGAGUUGCUUAUGGGGAGGUUGUCUUCUUGUUUCCCAUUUUGAUUAAGAACCAAUUUUUUCAUGUGGGUUUAUUGAGUUACAGACUAUUCGUAAUUAAAAAUUUGAUCUUGAUGAUUCUUGACCAAAUAUUUUAAGCUAGAUUUUCCAUAUGAUAUGUAUAUAUAUUCUAGUAGAUUCCUUGGAUUUUCAUAGCAAUUUUUAUACAGAUUUGGUUGUUGGGUAGUUGAUGUUUGAUUCAUCGAUACUGUUAAAUCACAUCUCUUUUUAUGAUCUUGCUCAUAUUCUCUCAUUACUUUUUAACAAAAUAAAAAAGAGAAGAUACUUGUUGUCUACCGUUUUGGUGGUUUAAUUUAACUGAUACCAAGAUGCUGUUUUUCUGGGUUAUAGUAGUAGUAGUACCUAUUGAAAGAAACCCCAUCGGAACAAAAUAUUAUAUUAUUAGAUGAUUUUGAAGUAAUAGUAGCAAAGCAUAGAACAGCAUUUGUUGGGUUUUGCAAUUUGAAAGCUUUUAAAAAAGGGAAGGGAUUUUAAAAAGAGGAGAAAAACAGAGGGACAGAGUUUAAAUCAGAAAUGAAAAAGAAGAAAGAGAGGAGGGUUUUGUGAUUUGGAGAGUCAGAUUUGCAAAUUUUUUAGUGUUUUUUUGAAGUGUGUUGGCUAUGUCUCCACAGCUGACUUGCUGACCCGGGCUCCGUGGGCUUUGCCGCCGACCAAGGAAACAGCCACUUUCUCUUAAACCCUCUUCCCAUUUAAGACCAAUCUCUUUUCUUUUCUCCCUUCUUUAAAAAUUUCAUUAACCCCUCUCCCCAUUUCCUCUUCUUUCUCUCUUACUAAGCUUUUCCUUUGGUUUUUCUCUGAAGAUUCCCCCACAACCUUCUUUCAAAUCCUCUUUUCUCAUUUCUCUAUGGUUCUUCAUUGGGGAUUCUGCUGUUUGCUGAAGUUUUGAGCUCAUCUUUUGGUGUUAUUUGUUGUUUGAGUAUUGAGGAAGAGCUUUUUUUUUGGGGAGGGGUGAUUGAGUAAACUUGAAGGUUAUUUCUUGGUUGUCAAGAUGAAGUUCAUGAAACUUGGAUCAAAACCUGAUUGUUUUCAAACUGAUGGGACCAAUGUUAGGUGAGAGAUCUCUUCUGCUUUCUUCAUUUACUCUGAUUCUCAUUCUUGUCAUAUUUUGUUUUGCUUUUUUGGCUUCUUGCAUUUCAAGUUGUGGCAGUUUCAUUGUAAUGACAUUUUACUUCGCUCCUUUUUUACUCUUUUACACUGUAAAACUCACUCCCACCUCACCGGAAACCACCGCUUACCGGCGGUGAGUUGGGGGAUCAACUAGAUAUUGCUGUUUUAAAAAGAAAUGGUCAAGUGGGAGAAAAGGGUGAUCGUGAAUAUUGAAGCUUUGGUUUUGUCAUUCACUUUUCUCUUUUUCAGAAUAACUGGCAAAAGCUUUUUCAAGUUCAUUUCCUUUUACUUCUUUCUAUGAUGGUUUAAUGGUUAAAUUUUUCACUUUUGCUCUCCCACCAAGUCACUGACUGGGUUCAUGACUGGGGCUUCUGAUAUAUAUUUUUUUUUCUUUUUUAGUGGACGGAUUUGAGUUCUCUUUUGCUUUGAUUGUGUGACAAGCCUAACUGCUUCUUGCUUUUCUAGUGUGAGACAGUCAUCAAAUUAAAAUUAAUAUAUGCAUCUCUGCUUUUCCUUUCCCUUGCUCUUAUUGGCUUUCAUUUAGAUGUAAACCUUUUCUUGAUUCACAAGGAGGGUCCAAACGUUAUUCAAUGGAUGAGUAUUGCUAUCAAACAUGGUUUGAUGUUGCAGGGUUAAGUAUCGAUUCAUAGGAUCUUCAGAAAAAUAGGAAUGUCUUAGGAAUAAGAACAGUGUAAAUAAGUUAAAAUUACUGAUGUUUUCAUAGGACAAAGCUAAAUAUCUUAAACACAAUUCAAAUGAUCAAAUACAUACUUUUUUCUUAUUUCAAAAAGAAAUACUAUUAUAAGAAUGUGACAUAAGUGUUGAGCAGUUAUUCUUACCAAACCCGGGUAAAACAGUUCAUAGAUUAUAGUUAUGUUUUUCGACUGCUUCAUCAGUUUAUACACACGUCGGAAAGAGAACAUAGAGAAUUGAGAUACCUGAUUACAUUUGAGAGAGCUACAUAGCUCAUUAAUGCUCAAAUGUUUAUUACAUGUACAUCAAGUUUCCAAGUAGAAUUAGAAAGUUGCUUACCAAACUAUGAAGCUAUUGCUUAUCAUUCUUUGGGGAAGGGAUCGCAUCACAUACGAUGGAAUUAAGUUCGAACGACUUUGAACUCGGUUGAAUGACCACACAUUAGAAAGAUGCUUUGAAAAAGACCUGGAAUCGUGAGCGAAAUAGCAUAUUUAUAUGCUGUGCCUCGAAUGGGUCAAGAGCAUGAAUUUAGUAGUAGGGAGAUUCCACAUUUUAACCAAGAUGGUAUUGAAUGUUCUUUUAACUCAAGAAUCACCUUUUUUUCUCUGUCUCUUAUGGGAACAAUAAGAAUCUUGCCACAAUGGAAUGUUGAAUAAUGGUUGUGCAUGUUCUUUGGUACAAUUGUCUACAUACACCUUUCUUCACUUCUUUUUAAAGCUUCAUUGCACGAGAAUUUUCUGUAGUGGAUGGAUGGUUCACUCUGAUGUAUAGUAGUUUCUUCUUUUGGAUUUGGAUGAAAUCUACUGCUACCUAUUACUAGCACGUUUUUAAAGCUUAAACAAAGUGUGGGCGUUGCCCGUUGCACUAAAAUUUUAGAAUUAACAUUUGAAUCUUAUAUGGUAGAAAUCAGAGUUAAUAGGGAAGUGAUACUCAAAUGAAACAAUCAGACAACUUUCUCAUUAUUUUAUUAAAAGAAUUCACAUUUAUGUUGCAGGUAUGUUGUCAGUGAAUUAGCUACGGACAUCACUGUUAUCGUUGGGGAUGUCAAGUUUUACCUCCACAAGGUGUGCCACUUAAUUUGAUUGCUCCUAUACGAAAGCGAACACACAAGUUCAGCAGGCUAACAUUUAAUAUAACACAUUAUUAUAAUAUGAGUAUCUUUAUGUUCAAAUCAAACUUGUAGUCAAUAAUACUGAUUUACUAUAAUCUCUUUUAAAAGCUGGCUUCUUUUAUGCAUCUUGACAUCUAGUUAUUCCUUACAUAUGGGUUAGUUGUACUGAUAAAUUGGUAGUACCUGCUUUUUUGCAGUUUCCCCUUCUGUCAAAGAGUGCUCACUUGCAGCAGUUGGUCACUGCGGGCACUGGGGAGCACAAUGAUGAAGUAUACAUUCCAGAGAUCCCAGGCGGUUCUGCGGCAUUUGAGAUAUGUGCCAAAUUCUGUUACGGCAUGACUGUUACUCUUAAUGCUUAUAAUGUAGUUGCAGCUCGUUGUGCUGCUGAAUACCUAGGAAUGCACGAGACAAUAGAAAAGGGAAACCUAACCUACAAAAUUGAUGUUUUCCUUAGUUCGAGUAUCUUUCGUAGCUGGAAGGAUUCAAUCAUUGUUCUUCAGUCUACAAAGUCACUAAUGCCAUUAUCUGAGGAACUGAAAUUGGUUAGCAAUUGCUUAGAAUCUAUUGCUGUGAAGGCCUCUGCUGAUAUUUCUAAAGUUGACUGGUCUUACACAUAUAACCGUAAGAAACUACCCGAGGAAAAUGGGAACAAUCCCAACUGGAAUGGUGUCAGGAAUCGUAGUGUGCCAAAGGACUGGUGGGUUGAGGAUCUUUGUGAGCUAGAAAUUGAUGUAUAUAAGCGUGUUAUAGUGAGUAUAAAAAACAAAGGAGUAGUCCCUAACGAUGUGAUUGGAGAAGCCUUAAAGGCUUAUGCUUACCGCUAUCUUCCAGGCUUUAGCAAAGGUGUGCUUCAAUGUGGGGAUCCGCUGAAGUAUCAGUCGGCAGUGUCCACAAUCGUCUGGCUGUUACCUGCUGAGAAAGGCAGUGUUUCCAGUAGUUUCUUGUCCAAAUUGCUGAAAGCUUCCAUUUUCCUAGCUUUUGGAGAUGAGACCAAAGACGAGCUCGUUCGACGAAUGGGACAACAGCUAGAGGAGGCUUCAGUGAGUGAUCUCUUGAUCCGAUCACCAGAAGGUGAAGCUAUGACCUAUGAUGUUAAUGCUGUACAGAAAAUGGUGGAGGUGUUUCUGUUGCAAGAUCAUAAUAGUGAAAUCGAGUCACUUGAAGAGGGAAAUGAGAUUCAGGAGCCAAGAGGGCCAGGGAUUUUGUCUGACGCUACUAAGUUGAUGGUGGCAAAAUUGAUAGAUGGUUAUCUUGCUGAGGUUGCAAAGGAUCCCAACCUACCAUCAGUAAAGUUCAUUGAUCUUGCAGAAAUGGUAUCUGGCAUCACUCGGCCUUCACAUGACGGGCUCUAUCGAGCCAUAGACAUGUAUCUAAAGGUACCAGUUCCUUAACUUCAACCUACUUGUCUUUCCACCUUGCUCAAAUCACAUAUGCACUCAAUUUAAUAUUGUUGGACUGAUUUACAGGAACAUCCAGGGAUCGGCAAGAGCGAUAAGAAGAGAAUCUGCAAACUGAUAGACUGCAAGAAACUAUCUGCUGAUGCAUGCAUUCAUGCGGUACAAAAUGAACGGCUUCCUCUACGUAUGGUUGUGCAGGUAUUAUUUUUCGAGCAAGUCAGAGCCUCAGCAUCAUCAGGCAGCAGCACUCCCGACCUACCUAAAGCCAUCAAGGAUCUUACAAGUGGAUCUCACAGCAGCUCAAGAUCAGCCACGACGAACCCCGAAGAAGAUUGGGAUGCCGUCGCCAUGGCUGAGGAGCUGAAGGCCCUCAAAGGGGAGCUAGCUUCCUUGAGGCUUGCUAAUGGUAGAGGAAGUAGUGAAAGAAAUGGGGAUGGUAAAAAUGGAAUUGACAAAGCAGCUCUUAGUAAAAUGAAAGGAUUGCUCAAAUCAAAGAAGCUUUUCACAAAGCUAUGGUCAAGCAAAGGAGGAGGAUACGGCGAAAACAGCGGGUCAGAUUCAUCAGAGAGCCUCGGUUCUGCUAAUCAGGAGGAAGCUAAGUCAACACCUUCAAGGAACAGAAGGCAUUCAGUUUCUUAGAAAGGUUCCAUUUUGGAGUGUUUAGUGAGUUGGGUGAACUCAUGAGUGGUUAAAAUGAGCAAGAAUGAAGUAUAUAUAGGUUAAGAGUCUGUAGUGUAUAUCAGUUAUUGCAGCAUUAUUACUAUUGAAGGGCAGUACCCAACCAAACAACAGCAAAAACAAAAACAAAAAAUGGAAAAAAAAGUUAUAUAUUAAAAAUAUGAGAUCUUUUUUCUUGUAUGGGGGGUUGUUUAAGUUAACUGAGAUUUGUUCACAAUGUUGAAAUCCCAUCAAAGAUGGAUGAGAAUCAUUCUCUAAUAUUGUUGAGGUGAAUCAAAUAAAGAUUGUCUUUGCCUAUAGGAGCAUUUUGAAUUAGCCUAUUGCCCCUCUUGUCUCCCAAAGAUGGUCGUAGGUUAGGUUUUUUGGUUGCAAAGAAUUUAUUCAGAUUUCUUAAGUUUUUUGCAUUGCUCUUAAAAGAAAAAGAAAAGGAAAGUCCUUGAUUGGAAGAAUCACAUAAAUAUCCAAUUGGGAUGCCAAGUUCUUUUUCCAUAUUAUAUGAACUUCAACCCAUUCAGAAAAUUUUGGUUUCUUUUACAUAUCAACAAUAGUAUAUGCCUAUAUGAAUUGUAUUAGUAACAUCUAAGAUGGUAAUUGACACUUUUAAUGUAAGACUUCUUUACUUUUAAUAAAUUUUAAUUAUGAUACAAAUUAGAAAUUACAUUUUUCUUUUCCCUUUUUUGUUUAGAUGUUUGAACCGAAAUUGAAACUAUACUAUUUGUUAUUUACUCUACCCUCUUAUGUCCUUUCAUUAGUAAUGUAUUUUCAAGAAGCCUUUAAGUUCAUAACUUUAAAAGAUUGUUAAAGAAACUAAGAAUAUCAUGUUAAUCUCAAUAUUUAAAAUAUUUAACUCCAGUCUCUAUACUUUAAAAUACUUAAUUUUAAUCUUUAAGAGUCACCUGUUAGUUUAAUGUUAAUUUUAAACUUACCCCUAAGAAACAUCUACAAGAAUUCCAUACGAAUCUUAUGAACACAUUCACAUAACCAAAUUAUAACAUUGUUAUUAACAAAUUUCAAAAGAAACUUUGUAUCCAUCUUCUGCCCUAUAUUAAAAAUAGGCAGUAAAAUGAAAACUUUUACAUCUUACACAUCACAAAAAUGACAUUACAGAUUACACCCUGAAAUUCAUAGAUACAACCUUCACAAAUAAACAGCCCCUUAGAUUUAUAACUACAAAGGUUUAAGAUAACGAAUUUUAGCUUUCCAUUUUCCAGAUAAAUUGAAGCAUGUACAUGAAUAUGUUUGUUUAAUACACAUAUAUAGCAACUAAAUAUGUUAUUACUUAGUAUUAAAAUUCAAUAAAAGAGAUAUACUGAAUCUACAUCUUAUAAAAAAUUAUUCGCAUUCCUUGCUACUUCAACUUCAUUGAAAGAGUACAUUAAAGAUCUAUGUAACAUACUAUGUAUUUUUUCAACCGUAUGGUAUUAAUGGAUAAAGUGGGAAAUGAUACUUCUAACUUUAAGGCUCAUGUGCUCAACUACGCUCCAAAAAAGAAUUUAGAGACUAAAGGAAAUAAAACACUAUCUCGUAAUUAUUUUCACUACAAUCACAAACUGAUUAACGAUACCAUAUAGCCUAAACCCUCCGAAUCCUAAACUGACUAGGCAUCACGCACAUCAAACAGGCUUAAGAACUGAAAAAUAAUAAUGGAAGGAAUAUAUGUCAAAAUAAUCUCAAGAAGCUCAAUUAAGAAACUUUAAAUGUUCAGAACAAAAGUGUCAAAAACGUCUUCUGACAAUCAUUUCAUAUUCCAUACUGAGUAAACAAAAGCAAAACAUGGGAAACCUUCUUCAAUGUAAAUUCAACCCAUUCUCUCUUCUAGGGAUAAUUAGCUUCUUAGCGGUACUGCACAAAUGGGAAAGUUCAAAGUUUAGAGAAUGUAGAAGAUAAAUCUGUGUGUGUAUGUGACAUCAAAUAAAUGAUGAUAACACAAAAUUAACUUGCCUUGAUGAAACCAAUUUCCUUGGCAUUGCUGCGGAAGCAUUGUCUGCAACACAUAAGUCCAUACUUCCUGAUCAACCCAUGGGGAUUUCCGCACACACGACUGAGAAGAGGAUUCAAAGAAAGGAGCUAUUGAAUUUCAGCUUUCUCAAAAGUCAACAAAUACUAUAGACAACCUUUAACCACCAAGGCCUCAUUUCCUAGCCAUUAGGUCUUUUUUUAAAAAAAAAAAAAAUUGAGCCUACAAACACUACUUCAAAUUUAAAUUUCUUGUUAUGUUAUUUACUUUUAACCAAUGAUUUAAAAAACCAAGCCAAAAUUUGAAAACCAAAAAAAAAAA
rnacentral:lncRNA from 1 species